GAUGAACGCUGGCGGCGUGCCUAAUACAUGCAAGUCGAGCGAACGGACGAGAAGCUUGCUUCUCUGAUGUUAGCGGCGGACGGGUGAGUAACACGUGGAUAACCUACCUAUAAGACUGGGAUAACUUCGGGAAACCGGAGCUAAUACCGGAUAAUAUUUUGAACCGCAUGGUUCAAAAGUGAAAGACGGUCUUGCUGUCACUUAUAGAUGGAUCCGCGCUGCAUUAGCUAGUUGGUAAGGUAACGGCUUACCAAGGCAACGAUGCAUAGCCGACCUGAGAGGGGGAUCGGCCACACGGGAACUGAGAAACGGUCCAGACCCCUACGGGAGGCAGCAGUAGGGAAUCUUCCGCAAUGGGCGAAAGCCUGACGGAGCAACGCCGCGUGAGUGAUGAAGGUCUUCGGAUCGUAAAACUCUGUUAUUAGGGAAGAACAUAUGUGUAAGUAACUGUGCACAUCUGGACGGUACCUAAUCAGAAAGCCACGGCUAACUACGG
rnacentral:rRNA from 1 species